AAAAAAAAAGUGAUCUUCUUCUAUCUACCCAACCACCCCCCUCUCCACCUCUGCCGCCACCUCCACUCCGGCGUAGUCUAUUUCUCCCACCUUUUUUGGUCACCGCCCCACCUUAUUUUUCUUUUUUCUCAGCCAUCGUCGUCACCGCGACCUCCGCCGCCCGAGCUCGUUUGUGAAUUGCAGCCUUGUGUUCCACCUCAAACGAAUUUCGUUUUCCCAGCCCUUUGUUACCACUUUGCAAUGAAAUUCAAGCAGAAAAAUCGCCGGAGUUGCGGCUGCCGACUACGGCCAAACAAAAUUCACAAGCUACGAUUCUGCCACCGGAAGCCGCCCCCUAAUUUCCAACCCCCUUCAUCAACCACGAAUAGAGCGGCGCCCUAACCGAAAUCAA
rnacentral:lncRNA from 1 species